rnacentral:rRNA from 1 species
AUUGGACGCUGGCGGCAGGCCUAACACAUGCAAGUCGAGAGGAGCGGCGGACGGGUGAGUAAUGCCUAGGAAUCUGCCGGGUAGUGGGGGAUAACGUACGGAAACGGGCGCUAAUACCGCAUACUAUCAGAUGAGCCUAGGUCGGAUUGGCUAGGUGGUGGGGUAAAGGCCUACCAAGGCGACGAUCCGUAACUGGUCUGAGAGGAUGAUCAGUCACACCUGAACUGGGACACGGUCCAGACUCCUACGGGAGGCAGCAGUGGGGACUGUUGGACAAGUGGCGAAAGCCUGAUCCAGCCAUUCCGCGUGUGUGACGAAGGUCUUCGGAUUGUAAAGCACUGUAAGUUUGGAGGCGUUACCAACAGAAUAAGCACCGGCUAACUUCGUGCCAGCAGCCGCGGUAAUAC